ACGAACGCUGGCGGCGUGCUUAACACAUGCAAGUCGUACGAGACGAUUGAAAGCUUGCUUUUGAAAGUCGAGUGGCAAACGGGUGAGUAACGCGUAGACAACCUGCCGUAAAGAUGGGGACAACAGUCCGAAAGGACUGCUAAUACCGAAUGUUGUGGAACUUCCGCAUGGAAGCUCUACUAAAGAUGGCCUCUACUUGUAAGCUAUCGCUUUACGAUGGGUCUGCGUCUGAUUAGCUAGUUGGUGGGGUAACGGCCUACCAAGGCGACGAUCAGUAGCCGGUCUGAGAGGAUGAACGGCCACAUUGGAACUGAGACACGGUCCAGACUCCUACGGGAGGCAGCAGUGGGGAAUCUUCCGCAAUGGGCGCAAGCCUGACGGAGCAACGCCGCGUGAGUGAAGAAGGGUUUCGACUCGUAAAGCUCUGUUGUCGGGGACGAAUGUGGAGAUGGUGAAUAACCAUUUCCAAUGACGGUACCUGACGAGGAAGCCACGGCUAACUACGUGCCAGCAGCUGCGGUAAUACGUAGGUGGCGAGCGUUGUCCGGAAUUAUUGGGCGUAAAGGGAGCGCAGGCGGGAGAUCAAGUCUAUCUUAAAAGUGCGGGGCUCAACCCCGUGAGGGGAUGGAAACUGGUCUUCUUGAGUGCAGGAGAGGAAAGCGGAAUUCCUAGUGUAGCGGUGAAAUGCGUAGAUAUUAGGAGGAACACCAGUGGCGAAGGCGGCUUUCUGGACUGUAACUGACGCUGAGGCUCGAAAGCGUGGGGAGCGAACAGGAUUAGAUACCCUGGUAGUCCACGCCGUAAACGAUGAAUGCUAGGUGUAGGAGGUAUCGACCCCUCCUGUGCCGGAGUUAACGCAAUAAGCAUUCCGCCUGGGGAGUACGGCCGCAAGGCUGAAACUCAAAGGAAUUGACGGAAGG
rnacentral:rRNA from 1 species